ACUGAGCAUACACAGAAUGCCUGGAGCACAAAGGUUCCAGUUGUCACCGUCUCCCUUGUCCCUGAGCAUAUGGGGUACCUUCUAUCUAAAAGGCGUCUGUUGUACCACGAGGCUCUUUCUCGAUUUGGCUCUCCGGAGGCCUGGAAGGCAGCGAAGAUGACCAAAGAAGAACGCAAUAUGGAGGCCAGCCAAAAACAGAGGCUGUGGGAGACUUCUUAAAGCUGUUUGUCGGCCUCGGCAAUGUGUCCAGGACGGAUGUCAGCCCCUUCUGGACCUCUGUGAGGAGCAUCAUUCUUCAAAAUAAAUAUCUGAAGGGAGCGUAAGGAGGAUUAAGAGCAUUCUACCUGUGUUCUCCUUGCUGCCACGUGGAAUGAUACAUGAACCAGACCUUUGGAUUUUGCAAGUAAAACUUUUAAACGUA